AGAUGGAACCGGUGUUUCCAUUUUCCCCAUCCCCAUGACGUCCUCUGGUGCUCCAUGGGAAUAGGGACUUACACAAUUCUGCCUCCGGAAUUCCGAGUCACUGGGGUUGUAAUGCCCCGGUGAUUCUGGGAAUCACGGAGAGGGAAUGGUAAUAUGAGUCCGGUGGUACCUGCCGGUUUUUCAUGCACAGUUACUGCCGGACUCGUAAUGAGGCCCAUACACUUCUGUCGCAUGACAAACAUGCUCUUACAACACAUGCUAGUAUUACAACAAAUACUAUAACCACGUAACCAUAAAGAAAGUUGCAGUUAUUUGAAUCUCGUUUUUAUAAAAGAGUUAAGGUUUAAACCAACAAAAUCAUAAAGUCAACAAACGCCAGUAAUAAUAAAGUUAAGAUAACAGCAUAAUCAACGUUAUUAAUACAUUAAAACAGUCUUGCUCGCUCUGUCAGAUGGGUGGAGCAUGAUGUAUUUGUGAUAGUACCUGAAAUAUGGUGAACUAUGCAUGGGAAAGGCGAAGCCAGAGGAAUCUCUGUUGGAAGUCCGUAGUGGUCCUGACUUGCAAAUCGGUCACCCGACAUGGGAUAAGGAUGAAAGACUAAUUGAACCAUCUAGUAACUGGUUCCCUCCGAAGUCUCCCUCAGGAUAGCUGGCACUCGGAAACCCCAGUUUUAUCUGGUAAAGCAAAUGAUUAGAGGUCUUGGGGCAAAAAUAAUCUCAACCUAUUCUCAAACUUUAUAUGGCCGAAGUGGAGAAGGGUUCCAUGUGAACAGCAGUUGAACAUGGGUGAGUCGUCCUAGGAGAAGUGGACAAGCACUGUUCGGAGGAACGGGCGAUGGCCUAUGUUGACCCCAGCCGAUUUAAAGGGAGUCAGGUACAGAUCCCCGAACCUGGAGUGGCGGGACGGGUACCUCGCGGCAUCCAUUGCAGUAACUCAAACAAUGCUGGAGAAACCGGUUGGAGCCCCGAGGAGAGUUUUCAUUUCUUUGUGAAGGGCAGGGCACCCUGGAAUGGGUUUGCCCUGAGAGAGGGACCAAGAUUUGAAAAGCGUUGCGGUUUCGGCAUCAUCCAGUGAGCUCUCGCUGGUCCAUGAAAAUCCAGGGGAGAUGGUGUAAAUUUUGUGCCGGGCCAUACCAUAUGCGAAGCAGGUCUCCAAGGUGAACAGCCUCUGGCAUGUUGGAACAAUGUAGGUAGGGAAGUCAGAUCUGUAACUUCGGGAUAAGAAUUGUCUCUAAGGGCUGGGUCGCUCAGCUGGGGUGCGAAGCAGGGCUGGGCACGUGCCGUAUCUGGACGAGGCACAUCCCCGUGGAACGGUGCCGACUCUCCUCACGAGCCCAAGCAGGGCCCUUCCUGUGAAUUGCCCCAGCUGCGGUGGUCGCCUCUCCUUAUUCCCCUCCAGGGGCUCGGGCCAGUGUUCUGCAUCAGCCGAGGCCUAGCAGCUGACUUAGAACUGGUGCGGACUAGGAGAAUCAGACUGUUUAAUUAAAACAAAGCAUUGCAAAGGCUUGCAGCGGGUGUUAACACAAUGUGGUUUCUGCCCAGUGCACUGAAUGUCAAAGUGAAGAAAUUCAAUGAAGCAAGGGUAAGCGGUGGAGUAGCUAUGACUCUCUUAAGAUUGCCAAAUACCUUGUCAUCUAAGUAGUGAUGUGCAUGAAUGGAUGAACGAUAUUCUCACUGUCCCUAACUACUAUUUCGUUAAACCACAGCCAAGGGAACGGGCAUGACUGAAUCAGCGGGCAAAGAAGACUAUGGUGUGCAUGAAUAUAGUCUGGCACUGUGAAGAGACAUGAGAGGUCUAGGAUAAGAGGGAGGUCCUCAGGCCUCCAAUGCAAUACCACUACUCUUAUUGUUUCUUCACUUACCUGGUGAGGUGGAGGGUGAGCCCUAUGGGGCUCUUGCUUCUGGAUCUAAGUGCCCAGCUCUGAGGAAAGUGGUAGGUGGAGAGCUUGACUGGGGCGGUAGACCUGCCAAUCAAUAAUGCAGGUGUCCUAAGGUGAGCUCAGGAGGACAGAAACCUCCUAUGGAGCAGAAGUGCAAAAUCCCAAGUGAUCCUGAUUUCCAGUAUGAAUACAGACAGUGAAAGUGGGGCUUCAUGAACCUUUGGACUUUUUGGGUUUCAAGCAGGAGCUGUCAGAACGGUUACCACAGGGAUAACUGGCUUGUGGCAGCUAAGCGUUCAUAGCAAAGCAGCUUUUUGAUCAUUCAAUGUCGGCUCUUUCUAUCAUUGUGAAUCAGAAUUCACCAAGCUUUGGACUAUACACCCACUAAUAGGGAACGUGAGCUGGAUUUAAACCCUUGUGAGACAGGUUCGUUUUACCCUACUGAUGAUGUGUUGUUGCAAUAGUAAUCCUGAUCAGUAUGAGAGAAACCACAGGUUCAGACAUUUGGUGCAUGUGCUUGGUUGAGAGGCCAAUGGGCGAUUAUGACUGAAUGCCUCUAAGUCAGAAUCCCUCUUAAACUGCAACAAUACCCCGGCGCUGUGGAGCCUCAGUUGACCUAGGAAGGUCUGCUUCUGGGCCAGUACUUGGAGCCACUCACAUCGGGACUUGAGCAUGGACAGAAGGGAGACACCUCUCUCACCCAUAGUGCACCACAUGCUG
rnacentral:rRNA from 1 species